GGGUCCUGGGGGGAUCCUUGGGGUCUUGAGAGGAUACUGGGGGUCCUAAGAGGAUCCUAGGGGGGAUAUGGGGGAGAGAUGGGGGUGCUGGGGGUCCUGAGAGGGUCCUUGGGGGGAAAUGGGGGUCCUGGGGGCCAUUGGCAUCGCCAACUUCGCCGAGCAGAUCGGGUGCACCGAGCUGCACCAGAGAGCCAGGGAGUACAUCUACAUGCACUUUGCUGAGGUUAGAGGGGAGAAAUGGGGGGGAAAUGGGGGUCCUAAGAGGGUCCUGGGGGGGUCCUUGGGGUCCUAAGAGGGUCCUGGGGGUCCUAAGAGGGUCCUGGGGGGGAGAUGAGGGUCCUUGGGGUCCUGAGAGGGGCCUGGGGGGGAAAUGGGGAUCCUGGGGGCCAUGGGGAUGCCAGCAUUGCAGAGCAGAUCAGAUGCACCGAGCCAGGGAGUACAUCUACAUGCACUUUGCUGAGGUUAGAGGGGAAAUAGGGGGGAAAUGGGGGUCCUAAGAGGGUCCUGGGGUCCUAGGAGGGCCCUGGGGGGAGAAAUGGGGGGGAGAUUGGGGUCCUGGGGGUCCUAAGAGGGUCCUGGGGGGGAAAUGGGGGUCCUGGGGGCCAUCGGCAUCGCCAACUUCGCCGAGCAGAUCGGAUGCACCGAGCUGCACCAGAGAGCCAGGGAGUACAUCUACAUGCACUUUGCUGAGGUUAGAGGGGAGAUAGGGGGGAAUUCAGGGUUGCAUCCCCCAUGCAUCACUGCAUUCUCAUGCAUCGCUGCCAUCCCCCAUGCAGGGUCAUAAUCCCCAUGCAUUGCUGCAUCCCCCAUGCAUCGCUGCAUCCCCACGCGUUGCUGCAUCCCCCGUGCAUCGCUGCAUUCCCACGCAUCACUGCACCCUCGUGCAUUGCUGCCAUCCCCCAUGCAGGGUCACAGCCCCCAUGCAGUGCUGCAGUCCCCAUGCAUUGCUGCAUCCCCCAUGCAGGGUCAUAGUCCCCAUGCAGGGUUGCAGCCCCCACGCAGUGUUGCAUCCCCAUGCAUCACUGCAUCCCCCAUGCAGGGUCUCAGUCCUCAUGCAUCGCUGCAUCCCCCAUGCAGUGCUACCAUCCCCAUGCAUCGCUGCAUCCCCCAUGCAGGGUCGCAGCCCCCAUGCAUUGCUGCAUCCCCAUGCAUUGCUGCAUCCCCCAUGCAGGGUCAUAGUCCCCAUGCAUCGCUGCAUCCCCCAUGCAUCGCUGCAUCCCCAUGCAUCGCUGCAUCCCCCAUGCAGGGUCAUAGUCCCCAUGCAGGGUCGCAGCCCCCAUGCAUUGCUGCAUCCCCACGCAUCACUGCAUCCCCCAUGCAUCGCUGCAUCCCCCAUGCAGGGUGAUAGUCCCCAUGCAGUGCUACCAUCCCCAUGCAUUGCUGCAUCCCCCAUGCAGGGUCAUAGUCCCCAUGCAUCGCUGCAUCCCCCAUGCAGGGUCGCAGUCCCCAUGCAUCGCUGCAUCCCCCAUGCAUUGCUGCCAUCCCCCAUGCAGGGUUGCAGCCCCCAUGCAUUGCUGCCAUCCCCCAUGCAGGGUUGCAGCCCCCAUGCAUUGCUGCCAUCCCCCAUGCAGGGUCAUAGUCCCCAUGCAUUGCUGCAUCCAUCAUGCAGGGCCAUAGUCCCCAUGCAUUGCUGCCACCCCCCAUGCAGGGCUGCGUCCCCCACGCAUUGCUGCAUCCCCCGUGCAGGGUUGCAGUCCCCAUGCAAGGUUGCAGUCUCCAAAUAGGGUUGCAGUCCCCAUGCAUCACUGCAUCCCCCAUGCAGGGUCAUAGUCCCCAUGCAGUGCUGCAACCCCAUGCACCGCUGCACCUCCCAUGCAUCGCUGCCCCCC
rnacentral:lncRNA from 1 species